rnacentral:rRNA from 1 species
UACGUAGGGCGCAAGCGUUAUCCGGAAUUAUUGGGCGUAAAGAGCUCGUAGGCGGUUUGUCGCGUUGUUCGUGAAAACUCACAGCUCAACUGUGGGCGUGCGGGCGAUACGGGCAGACUGGAGUACUGCAGGGGAGACUGGAAUUCCUGGUGUAGCGGUGAAAUGCGCAGAUAUCAGGAGGAACACCAAUGGCGAAGGCAGCACUCUGGGACGGUACUGACGCUGAGACGCGAAAGCGUGGGGAGCAAACAGG